GCACCGUUGGUGUAGUCCGGCCAAUCAUCUUGGCCUUUCGACAAAGUAUCGGCAAAUCUGACCGGCUUUGGAAGAUAGCCGAGGACCAGGGUUCAAAUCCCUGACGGUGCA
rnacentral:tRNA from 1 species